rnacentral:lncRNA from 1 species
CCCUUACUGCGCGAGCUAGGGCCGGAUUAGCAAUCAUAUCAACCAAUACUGUACGUACAAGAUCAUGCAUCGUUGAGCCGCUUGGUGGGCGAGACGGCCUCGAUGGCCUCCCCGAGCGGCCACGCGGCCUCGAUGAAGUACUCCCCGUGCUUCACCUUCUGCGCCACGGUGAUCUCCUUGGUCGGCUCCAAGCCGAACCCGUCCACGAGCAGGGAGUACUGGUAGACGAGGUCCAUGCAGAUGUAGGGCGCGUCCACGGACCGCACCUUGGGGUACGCGGCCUUGGCCUCCAGGAAGCUCAUCGGGCAGAUCUCCUCGGCGGCGGCCCUGAACGCCGCCGGCGUGGUCUUCCCGCUGCUCGCCUCGCUGUCGAUCAGGCCGACGUCUGCUGCCAUGUAGUAGAAGCUGGAGGUGACGUAGAGCUCGGCCUGGCCGGGGCCG